UACGUAGGGGGCAAGCGUUGUCCGGAAUUAUUGGGCGUAAAGAGCUCGUAGGCGGUCCGUUGCGUCGGCUGUGAAAACCCGGGGCUCAACUCCGGGCCUGCAGCCGAUACGGGCAGACUAGAGUUCGGCAGGGGAGACUGGAAUUCCUGGUGUAGCGGUGAAAUGCGCAGAUAUCAGGAGGAACACCGGUGGCGAAGGCGGGUCUCUGGGCCGAUACUGACGCUGAGGAGCGAAAGCGUGGGGAGCGAACAGG
rnacentral:rRNA from 1 species